CUAAGUUCUAAGGUGCACACAGGGAUGCUAGGCUCUCAGAAGGCCGAAAGAAAGACGUGGAUAAGCUGCGAAAGCUUGCGGGGAUGGGGCAUAAGAAUUUGAUCCGCAGAUUAUCUGGAAUGGGGGAAACCCGUUGCAUGUUGGAAGACAUGUCCACCCUUCUGUAAGGAAGGGGGCGACGCGCCUGAACUUGAAACAAUUCUAAGUAGGCGGCAGGAGAAGAAACAAUAGGUGAUUUUCCGUAGUAUAGCGGCGAGCGAAGUGGAAGAGCCAAAACAAGAAUUGUUUUCGGCAAUUUGGGGUUGUAGGGCUUGGCAAUAUUUGAGAAGAUUGUUAGGGAAUGUUUUGGAAAGUACAAAAGGGGGUGAAAUUAGUCCCGUUACACGAAAUAGCAAAUUCAUUGAAUAGCAGUACCUGAGGUAGGGGCGGGAACACGUUGGAUCCUGUCCUGGAAAAUCUGUCAGAAUCAUCUGAAUAAGGCCUUAAAUACUCCUGAGCAGACGAAUAGCGCAACUAGUACCUUGUGAAGGGAAAGGUGAAAAAGAACCCUGAAUAAGGGAGUGAAAUUAAGAAUCCUGAAAACUGUGUGUCUACAAGCGUCGAAACACUGGUUUAACGGGUUGGACGGCGUGGCUUUGAUAAAUGAAUCCUACGAGUUUACUCCUCGUCUGGCAAGGUUUAAGUGGUUUUAGAAACAGAGCCGAAGCGAAAAAAGCGGUCCUGAAUAGGGGCCGAAUAGUCAGGGGGGUUAGACGCCGAAACCUUGUUGAUCUCCAUGGGCAGGUUGAGUUUAGUAACAUGAAAUAAACAAACGUUGAAAAAGUGUUCCGAUGAACUGUGGGGUAGGGGUGGAGGCCAAUCAAACUGGGAAAAUGCUCGUAACUCUCCCCCGAAAUGCAUUUAGGUGCAGCGGUUGAGGUUACAGUUUAUAUAGAGGGUAAGAGCUACUGAUUGGACUAGGGGGCUUUCCACCGCCUACCAAUCCUGACCUUCCGAAAUGCUAAUAAUAUUACUUCAGCAGUGAAGGGGCAUGGGUUUUUAAGGGUCAUGUCCGAGAGGGAAGAACAGAUUAUAGCUAAGGCCAAAUAAUAUAUAAGUUUUGACUAACGUUGUGCGGUUGCAUUUGAGCUAGGAUGUUGGUUGGAAGCAGCCCAUUUCAUUUACCAGAAAGUGGGGCGUAACAGCUUCACUAGUCGAAGCGGAUCGUUGCGUGGAUUAAUAAAACGGGCAUUAAAGUAUAUUGCGGAAGCUAUAAAUUUCAGUACUUAGGUACAUGUCUGGUAAGGGGAAGCAUUCCUAUGGGCGUUGGAAGGUGUCGGGGUUUGGGACCCAUGCGGAGCCGCUAAGAAAAGCCAAAAUGUAGGAAUUAAGUAACGAUAAUGCCCAGCGCGAGAACCUGCAACACAAUAGACCUAAGGUUUCUUGAACGACCGCUUAAUCCGUCAGGGGUUUUUAGUCGGGGCUAACGCGAACCCGAAGGGGGUAGUGGAUGGACAGAUGGGGUUUAAUAUUCCCAUAACUUGUUAAUACUGGCGAUGGGGUGGACGGGAAGUAAUUUGAAAGGACCGGCGCUGACGGAAUAGCGGGGCGUUAAAAAGAGUGUAGGUAUAAGGAUGUAAGGCAAAUACGCAGACCUUUGCUUGAACUUUGAUAGUAACCGGGGCCGGCUUCGGGCCAAUGGGAAUAGUCGGGUCCUAAGGGUUCCAGAACUCUUAAGCUCAAAGGUUUAUAACAAACUCGUACCGUCAAACCGACCACGGUUAGUACAAGUUAGAGAAUACUAAGGGUGCUCGCGUGAUUAUGGCUAAGGAACUUAGGCAAAAUGGUUCUCGUAACUUUCGGGAGAGAGACGCCAGUCCGUAAGACUGGCCGCAGUUCAAAUAGGCCAGGCAUGUUUUAUCAAAAACACAUGGCUUUUGCAAAAGUCGAAGUGAAGUAUAAAGGUGACCUGGCCGGUGCUGGAAGGGUUUAAGAGGAGGAUUGUUUACGGUUCGUCGAAGCAAUUUGAAUUGAAGCCCCAGUAAAACGGGCGGCCCGUAACUAUAACGGGUCCUUAAAGGUAGCCGAAAUUCCCCUUGUCGGUUAGUUCCCGACCUGCACGAAUGGUGGGUAAUGAUCUUGGCCUGUCUGCGGCCAAUGAGCCCUGUGAAAUUUGUUUAGUAUCGGUGAAGAAUGCCGAUUACCCGCACGGGAGAAAAAAGGACCCGUGAACCUUUACUAGCUUCACAUUGAAAUUUGGGGUAAUUUCAUGGUGUAGGAUAGGUGGGAGACUUUCGAGGGCUUGCGUUUCGCUAGGCGUAGAUUAGUCGUUCCUUGAAUACCAAACCUUGAAUUAUCUGGUGUCUACCCUUCCAAGAAGGGGACAUUGUGUGGGUGGGUAGUUUUUGACUGGGGUGUCGCCUCCAAAAAGAGUAACGGGGCCUCCCUAAAGGUUAAACCCUCCACACGGGUUGCGUAAUCGUUGGUGUAGAAGUGUAAUGGCAAUAAAGGUGUGCUUGACUGAGAGAACCGAACAAGUCCCGAUCAAGGUAGGAAACUGAGCAUAGUGGAUUCCGGUGGGUUCCGCAUGGAAGGGCCAUCGGCUCAAGAUAAAAGGUAUCCGGGGGAUAACAGGCUUGAUCAACUCCCAGAGCUUUCACAUUGACGGAGUUGGUUUUGGCACCUCGAUGUUCGGCUCGUCCACUCCUGGGGCUUGAGAAGGUCCAAGGGUUUGGGCUUGUUCGCCCAUUUAAAGUGGGCACGCGGAGCUGGGUUCAGAGUCCGUGAGACAGUUUUUCCGGUCUCUAUUCUUGUUUGGCGUUAGUUUUAUUUGAGAGGACUGCCCUCUAGUACGAAGAAGGACCGGGGUGGACAUACUCUGUGGUACCUGUUGUUGGGUCGCCCAGCUGCAUCGCAGGGUAAAGCUAUGUUAUGGAUGAGAAUAAGCGCUGGAAGCAUCUAAGCCACGAAACUCACCUCAAGAUGACGAAUAACUUUUAAGGGCGUGGAAGGACGACCACCGUUGAUAGGCUACAAGGUGUAAAGUCAGUAUGCAUAGCCGAGUAGUACUAAUUACGUAAGACUUUAUAUU
rnacentral:rRNA from 1 species